GCCAAAUGGGAUGAACAACCUCUGAAAGCCAUCGAUCCGGAAGGUCCAGCAUCGCCUGAGAUCCAGAUAGCUGCUACUUCGAUCACAUCUCUGUACCGUGUGAAUGCUCGUGAUGCAAUGAGCUGUUAGUAAAGAAGAGUGUUUGAAAGCAAUCGGAAUAGUGUCAGACCUGUAUGGUAGGUUCUGUUAGGGAGUAUCGAUGAAU
rnacentral:misc_RNA from 1 species